GUGUCAGCAGCCGCGGUAAUACGUAGGUGGCAAGCGUUAUCCGGAAUUAUUGGGCGUAAAGCGCGCGUAGGCGGUUUUUUAAGUCUGAUGUGAAAGCCCACGGCUCAACCGUGGAGGGUCAUUGGAAACUGGAAAACUUGAGUGCAGAAGAGGAAAGUGGAAUUCCAUGUGUGGCGGUGAAAUGCGUAGAUAUAUGGAGGAACACCAGUGGCGAAGGCGACUCUCUGGUCUGUAACUGACGCUGAGGCUCGAAAGCGUGGGUAGCAAACAGGAUUAGAUACCCGAGUAGUCC
rnacentral:rRNA from 1 species